rnacentral:rRNA from 1 species
AUUGAACGCUGGCGGCAGGCCUAACACAUGCAAGUCGAACGGUAACAGGAAGCAGCUUGCUGCUUUGCUGACGAGUGGCGGACGGGUGAGUAAUGUCUGGGAAACUGCCUGAUGGAGGGGGAUAACUACUGGAAACGGUAGCUAAUACCGCAUAACGUCGCAAGACCAAAGAGGGGGACCUUAGGGCCUCUUGCCAUCGGAUGUGCCCAGAUGGGAUUAGCUAGUAGGUGGGGUAACGGCUCACCUAGGCGACGAUCCCUAGCUGGUCUGAGAGGAUGACCAGCCACACUGGAACUGAGACACGGUCCAGACUCCUACGGGAGGCAGCAGUGGGGAAUAUUGCACAAUGGGCGCAAGCCUGAUGCAGCCAUGCCGCGUGUAUGAAGAAGGCCUUCGGGUUGUAAAGUACUUUCGGCGGGGAGGAAGGGAGUAAAGUUAAUACCUUGGCUCAUUGACGUUACCCGAAGAAGAAGCACCGGCUAACUCCGUG